rnacentral:rRNA from 1 species
CCUACGGGAGGCAGCAGUGAGGAAUAUUGGUCAAUGGGCGGAAGCCUGAACCAGCCAAGUAGCGUGCAGGAUGACGGCCCUACGGGUUGUAAACUGCUUUUAUACGGGAAUAACGCGCCUUACGUGUAGGGCUUUGCAUGUACCGUAUGAAUAAGGACCCGCUAAUUCCGUGCCAGCCGCCGCGGUAAACCGGAAGGUUCGGGCGUUAUCCGGAUUUUUUUGGUUUAAAGGGGGCGUAGGCCGCAUGUCAAGCGUGCUGUGAAAUGUCCGGGCUCAACCCGGGCCUUGCAGCGCGAACUGGCGUGCUUGAGUGCGCGGAAAGCAGGCGGAAUUCGUGGUGUAGCGGUGAAAUGCUUAGAUAUGACGAAGAACCCCGAUUGCGAAGGCAGCUUGCUGCAGCGGAACUGACGCUGAUGCUCGAAAGCGCGGGUAUCGAACAGGAUUAGAUACCCGUGUAGUC